UACAGGGGGUGCAAACGUUGCUCGGAAUUACUGGGCGUAAAGCGUGCGCAGGCGGGCUUUUAAGCCAGACGUGAAAUCCCCGGGCUUAACCUGGGAAUGGCGUUUGGGACUGGAAGUCUGGAGUGCGGCAGAGGAGACUGGAAUUCCUGGUGUAGCAGUGAAAUGCGUAGAUAUCAGGAGGAACACCGAUGGCGAAGGCAGGUCUCUGGGCUGACACUGACGCUCAUGCACGAAAGCGUGGGGAGCAAACAGG
rnacentral:rRNA from 1 species